rnacentral:rRNA from 1 species
UACGGAGGGUGCAAGCGUUGUCCGGAUUUAUUGGGUUUAAAGGGUGCGUAGGCGGGAGAUUAAGUCAGAGGUGAAAGACUGCAGCUCAACUGUAGCAGUGCCUUUGAUACUGGCUAUCUUGAGUGUGGGAGAGGUUAGCGGAACUCCGAGUGUAGAGGUGAAAUUCGUAGAUAUUCGGAAGAACACCAGUGGCGAAGGCGGCUAACUGGCCCAUUACUGACGCUGAGGCUCGAAAGCGUGGGGAGCAAACAGG